CAAUUCGUUGGAGACAGAAGACUCAAAACACAAGGGAUGAAUGCAGCGACUCUUCUCCCGCUGUUUGGUAUUCUUCUCGCAGUCUGUGUCAAUCCUUGUCUCACGAGCACCUGCCCGGGAGGGGAGCAUUUCAGUGCCUGGCUGCCUACCAGAGCUUGCACUCACCACAUCAAAGACGUUGUACGUCUGGUGUGUCAUAGCUUCCCUUCAUCGUUACUGGAAGCAACGGAUACCCACGUGACUGGCAAUUUGUCGUCCCAAUCCUCUAAAACGGAAAUACACAGAAUGCUUUUUUGUCAGUGUUGCCUCCACGAUUGUUUUCUCACAGAGCUAAUGGCGUUCUGUCCAUUUGUUGAUCGAUUUUAAACGUGUUACUUUGGUAUGUAAUGAUCAAUUUCAAAAAUUAAAUAUGAAACCUAU